GCGACAGAGCGAGACUCCGUCUCAAAAAGAAAAAAAAAGAAAAAAAAGAGGGCAGGAAGAGGAAACAACAGUUGCGGAGCUGGACUUGAUGGAAGGGAGCAUUUGCGUGCGGCGCGCAGGGCACUGAGUCACCAUCGUGGCCGCGUCCUCGCGCUCUCCUAGCGAUUUCUCCGGAGAAAGCGGAGCAAGGUCAGCCGGGCAGCCCUUCAAGGACGGCGCGCCGCUCCUGCAUGCUGAUGGCCUGCGGGGCUGCCUGCCCGUGCCCCGGCGCCCAACUCCUACAAGGAAGAAAUUCAGGGGCUCCCCGCCCCCGCCACAGUCCUCUUCCCCCUCCCCAGCUGCAACUCGGCAGCCGUUCGUCAAAGACCCUGUUGUCACCGAGACACUGGGACCUUGUCUCAUCCUUGGAACCACUCGUAAAUCUUAGGUCAGGCAGCCGGCAGCCUUCGGGGACCACAGUCCCCCCAAAGCUUUAGGAAGCCAGUUACUACAUCCGGAAAGAUUCGUGCUUCAGAACGCAAGCCAGGGAGAAUAAUCACAGAAACGCAAUGCGAAUGUCGUGCCUCUCAGAAAUUCUUAGCCUGAAAUACCGUCCCCACCCCCCAACCCGGCCAGGCGACAGUCCUGUCAUCCUAACACCGCAGAGGCUCCAAGCGCUGGGAGUCGUGUGCCCGCGGCGCUCGCCACUGAGGCCGGUUGGAAGAUUCUAGGGUGCCCCUUCCCAGGUUCCAGCAGGCACUCCGGGAUGUUCUAGAGUCAGGCCAGGGAUUCAACAGCGAACCUGACCGAAACUCAAACCUCAGCACAAGAACUUUGAUGGGGGAAGUGCCCAGACUCCAAUACUCUCGACCUUGGCAUUUAGUAGUUUCUUCUUUGAACUGGAAAGAUCAAAUAAUGCACAGUAAAAUCUCAUGAUAAGGGUUCCACCAAGAAUUCGGGAUUUGUGUUAAUUCAUAAGGCAGAAGUGGCCCCUGUGCUAUCCAUGAAGAGUUUCUGUAUUUCUCUGCAAGGUCACAGGUAGGCUUUUUAACCAAUUAAAGAAAAACUCCAACAUUUAGAGGGCCCAUUAUUAUAAUAAUUCCUGUAUUUGUUUGCUGUCUGGCACAUAAAAACGUGCUUCACUUGCAUAUAUUAAUGAAUUUUCACCUCCUAGCCCCUGGCUAACCCAUUUUACAGCUGAAAGGACUAAAGCAACAGAUGCCCAAAGUAACUCACCUAGCAACAAGUCUUGGGAUUCUGAGAUGAGGUUCUUUCUCCCACACACACAGGCAGGCUGGCUUCUUGGGAGUGGGACUUGUUCAUUUGUCCCCACCACCACCAUUGAUUUUGACUGAUUGCUCCACUCUUGCUGUCUUCAAACUUUUGAACAAGGGGGUUUGCAUUUCUCUUUGCACUGGGCCAAAUUAUGAGGUAGGUCCUACACACAGGCUCCAAGAUGACAGUACUAAUUUUUCACUAAUUUUUCUCUACUUGGUGCUCAAGUGUAGAGUUUGAGGGGUACUAUCAUCUUCACUCCAGGCAAGGCACUGUUGUUUCUUUUGUAUUCCUGCUUAUUCUCCACCCCAUCAGGUGCUCACUCUGAUACCUGUCUUUGAGUGCUGUUUUCUUGGAAAAACAAAUCUAUUUUCAAGAAAUGAAUCAAAAUUAUCCUAAGAACUUUUUAAUUGCAAUAUAAUGCAUUUACAGAAAAGUACACAAAUCAUAAAUGUUCAGGUCGCUGUGUUUUCACAAGCUGAACACACCCAUGUAACCAGUACACAGAUCAAUUAUCGGCCCCCAGGAGUCCCCUCAUGUUCCUAUCUGGUUACUAUGUACUCAAGAGUAACCACUGUUCUGAAUCCUAACCCCAAAGAUCAGUGCUUCCUGUUUUGUGUUUUAUAUAAAUGCAAUUAUACAUUAUAUAUUAUUUUGUGUCUGCCUUCUUUUGCUUAACGUUGCUAUGAGAUUUAUCCAUGCUGUUGCAUGUGGUGGGCAGAAUUACAAGAAGACCCCCAAGAUUCCUCACCCCUUCUUGUAUGCACAUUCCCAUAGGUAUUGAUCUAGGCGCUGCUGUGAAGGGAAUUUGCAGAUGUAAUUGGCCUAAAUCAGUUGGCUUUAAUAUCAGGAAAUUGUCCUCAGUGGGCAUGGCCAUAUGGAGCCCUUACAAGGGACUGGGCUCUUCCUGGUGAAAAAGAUUUGAAUCACGAGAGUGGCUGAUAUGAGGGAAAUUCUUUGCUGUUGCCUUCGAAGACAGAAGAGGUCCACAAGGCAAAGGAUGCAGACAGCCUGUAGGAGCUGAGACUGGCUCCUGGCUGACAGCCAGCAAGGAAAUGAGGACCUCAGUCCUCCAAUCAUGAAGCAGACUCCGACUUCUGCUAACAACCUGAAUACACUUCAAAGAGGAUUCUGAGCUCCAGCCGCCUACACAUUGAUUUCAGCUGUUGGGACCCUCAGCCGAGAACCCAGCUAUGCCGUGCCCAGAUGUAAGACCUACACAUCUGUGAGCUUGAUGCUUCCUGCCCUCAAACAUUGGACUCCCAGUUCUACAGUUUUGAGACUGGGACUGGCUCUCCUUGUUCCUCAAGCUUGCAGACAGCCUAUUGUGGGAUCUUGUGAUCGUACUCUCUGUGGCCCAGGCUGGAGUGCACUGGUGCCAUCUCGGCUCACUGCAACCUCUGCCUCCCGAGUUCAAGUGAUUCUCCUGCCUCAGCCUCCCGAGUAGCUGGGACUACACGUGCCUGCCACCACGCCUGGCUAAUUUUUGUAUUUUCAGUAGAGACGGGGGUUUCACCAUAUUGGCCCGGCUGGUCUCGAACUCUUGACCUUGUGAUCCACCCACCUCAGCCUCCCAAAGUGCUG
rnacentral:lncRNA from 1 species